GGCAGACUGGUGAGUAAUGCGCGAGUAAUUUACCUCUAAGUCGGGGAUAGCCUUGCGAAAGCGAGGGUAAUACCCGAUGUGUUUAAAGCUGCAUAAGUGGCUUUAAGUAAAGGAGGCCCGCAAGGGUUUUUGUUUAGAGAUGAGCUCGCGUCCUAUCAGCUAGUUGAUGAGGUAAUGGCCCACCAAGGCUUUUGACAGGUAGCUGGCCUGAGAGGGUGGUCAGCCACAUGGGGACUGAGACACUGCCCCAACUCCUACGGGAGGCUGCAGUCGAGGAUAUUUAGCAAUGGACGAAAGUCUGACUAUGUGACGCCGCGUGAGGGAUGAAGGUCUUCGGAUUGUAAACCUCUUUCGAUAGGGAAGAAAACCUGCUUUUAACGAAGCAGACUGACGGUACCUAGAGAAGAAGCCACGGCCAACUCUGUGCCAGCAGCCGCGGUAAUACAGAGGUGGCGAGCGUUACUCGGAUUUAUUGGGUGUAAAGGGCAAGUAGGCGUCUUGACAAGUUAGGGGUGAAAUCCUGCAGCUUAACUGCAGAACUGCUCUUAAAACUGUUGAGAUUGAGACUGGGAGAGGAAAGCGGAAUUCUCGGUGUAAGAGUGAAAUCUGUAGAUAUCGAGAGGAACACCAGUGGCGAAGGCGGCUUUCUGGCCCAGUACUGACGCUGAAUUGCGAAAGCUAGGGGAGCAAACAGGAUUAGAUACCCUGGUAGUCCUAGC
rnacentral:rRNA from 1 species